rnacentral:rRNA from 1 species
AGGACGAACGCUGGCGGCGUGCUUAACACAUGCAAGUCGAGCGGAAAGGCCUUUCGGGGUACUCGAGCGGCGAACGGGUGAGUAACACGUGAGUAAUCUGCCCAUCGCUUCAGGAUAGCCAUCGGAAACGGUGAUUAAUACUGGAUAUGACAUUCCUUCGCAUGUUGGGGUGUGGAAAGUUUUUUCGGCGGUGGAUGUGCUCGCGGCCUAUCAGCUUGUUGGUGGGGUAAUGGCCUACCAAGGCUUUGACGGGUAGCCGGCCUGAGAGGGUGACCGGCCACGACUGGGACUGAGACACGGCCCAGACUCCUACGGGAGGCAGCGAGUGGGGAAUAUUGGACAAUGGGCGGAAGCCUGAUCCAGCAACGCCGCGUGGAGGAUGACGGCCGUUCGGGUUGUAAACCUCUUUCAGCACAGACGAGUUUGCUUUUGGUGAGUGAGUAUGUGCAGAGAGACGCAACUACGUGCCAGCGAGCCGAC